rnacentral:rRNA from 1 species
GCAGUCGAACGGCAGCAUGAUCUAGCUUGCUAGAUUGAUGGCGAGUGGCGAACGGGUGAGUAAUACAUCGGAACGUGCCCUGUAGUGGGGGAUAACUAGUCGAAAGAUUAGCUAAUACCGCAUACGACCUGAGGGUGAAAGUGGGGGACCGCAAGGCCUCAUGCUAUAGGAGCGGCCGAUGUCUGAUUAGCUAGUUGGUGAGGUAAAGGCUCACCAAGGCGACGAUCAGUAGCUGGUCUGAGAGGACGAUCAGCCACACUGGGACUGAGACACGGCCCAGACUCCUACGGGAGGCAGCAGUGGGGAAUUUUGGACAAUGGGGGCAACCCUGAUCCAGCAAUGCCGCGUGUGUGAAGAAGGCCUUCGGGUUGUAAAGCACUUUUGUCCGGAAAGAAAUCGCACUUACUAAUAUUAGGUGUGGAUGACGGUACCGGAAGAAUAAGGACCGGCUAACUACGUGCCAGCAGCCGCGGUAAUACGUAGGGUCCAAGCGUUAAUCGGAAUUACUGGGCGUAAAGCGUGCGCAGGCGGUUGUGCAAGACCGAUGUGAAAUCCCCGGGCUUAACCUGGGAAUUGCAUUGGUGACUGCACGGCUAGAGUGUGUCAGAGGGGGGUAGAAUUCCACGUGUAGCAGUGAAAUGCGUAGAGAUGUGGAGGAAUACCGAUGGCGAAGGCAGCCCCCUGGGAUAACACUGACGCUCAUGCACGAAAGCGUGGGGAGCAAACAGGAUUAGAUACCCUGGUAGUCCACGCCCUAAACGAUGUCAACUAGUUGUUGGGGAUUCAUUUCCUUAGUAACGUAGCUAACGCGUGAAGUUGACCGCCUGGGGAGUACGGUCGCAAGAUUAAAACUCAAAGGGAUUGACNGGGACCCGCACAAGCGGUGGAUGAUGUGGAUUAAUUCGAUGCAACGCGAAAAACCUUACCUACCCUUGACAUGCCACUAACGAAGCAGAGAUGCAUUAGGUGCUCGAAAGAGAAAGUGGACACAGGUGCUGCAUGGCUGUCGUCAGCUCGUGUCGUGAGAUGUUGGGUUAAGUCCCGCAACGAGCGCAACCCUUGUCUCUAGUUGCUACGAAAGGGCACUCUAGAGAGACUGCCGGUGACAAACCGGAGGAAGGUGGGGAUGACGUCAAGUCCUCAUGGCCCUUAUGGGUAGGGCUUCACACGUCAUACAAUGGUGCAUACAGAGGGUUGCCAAGCCGCGAGGUGGAGCUAAUCCCAGAAAAUGCAUCGUAGUCCGGAUCGUAGUCUGCAACUCGACUACGGAAGCUGGAAUCG